ACUCCUACGGGAGGCAGCAGUAAGGAAUAUUGGUCAAUGGACGCAAGUCUGAACCAGCCAUGCCGCGUGAAGGAUUAAGGUCCUCUGGAUUGUAAACUUCUUUUAUCUGGGACGAAAAAAGGCGAUUCUUCGUCACUUGACGGUACCAGAUGAAUAAGCACCGGCUAACUCCGUGCCAGCAGCCGCGGUAAUACGGAGGGUGCAAGCGU
rnacentral:rRNA from 1 species